UACAGAGGUCUCAAGCGUUGUUCGGAUUCAUUGGGCGUAAAGGGUGCGUAGGCGGCGCCAUAAGUCCGGUGUGAAAUCUCGGGGCUUAACUCCGAAACUGCAUUUGAUACUGUGGUGCUUGAGGACUGGAGAGGAGACUGGAAUUCACGGUGUAGCAGUGAAAUGCGUAGAUAUCGUGAGGAAGACCAGUGGCGAAGGCGGGUCUCUGGACAGUUCCUGACACUGAGGCACGAAGGCCAGGGGAGCAAACGGG
rnacentral:rRNA from 1 species